UGGCUUGUCAGUUCAAUUGAUAUGACAUGUUAGACGAGAUGUGAAUUGAAACGCCCAUUAAUGUCAAACAGACAUAAAAUAUUAAACAAUCCUUUUUGCAUAUACCCUGGCGGCGUUAAAAAAUGAACGAUAUUCAUUUGAUAACAGUAAAUUGGUGAAAAAUACACUGGCUAUCAACCAACCAACCAGGAUUCUUACAUAAGGUGUAAUUUAUAAGUAAAUGACCUAGAAUGUAAAUUGGUAGGUUUGUUCCCCUUUAAACCUUACCUCGCUCGUUUGUGCUUGCACCCAGUCAGGAUAUCUAAAAUAUGUUUUGUUUGUUGUUUCUUUUUUCGGAGCAGUCUGGUAUUAAUGGUAAUUUUUCUCUGCUGUGAUGUCCAAAAAAGUGAUCAUCCUUAGCAAUACGAAGUGAUAGUACAUGCAAUUGAUACAACACAUUAAUUGAUGUUUCUGAUAUUCUUUUGUAGAAUAUGUUUUGCAUAUUAUGUUUUUGGUGAGUAAGAUCAAUUUUUCAUCGUUAGCUUUUAGAUUACUCUUAUAUUUGAAUAUUUUGCCUGGGA
rnacentral:lncRNA from 1 species